AAGAAGUAAUCUGUAAUUUCGUGCUGUUUAUAUAUUUAAUAUUAUAGGAAGGAGUAAGAAAUCAUAGUCUUACCCCUAGUUGAGGCUUGAAGAAAUGAAAAAAACUCAAUCGAUAGAAAGAAAGGAAUAUUUAUUGAUGAAUCUUCUUGUCCGAAGAUGCUCACGAAGUUACAUCUCUUUUCUUGGAUUAAUCCCACUUGGCCUUAGUCUGGAGCACUAUAUAUAUGGAGAGAGUACGUCUUUUCAGAAAAUACAUAGGUUGACAUAAACAAUCAUCUUUAGGAUAUCUACAUUGCAUUGAAAACUGCUUUAUUUGUUAAAAGAUUAUAGGUAAUAAUCAAUUUAAUUAUUCGAUUAAACGACUUUAUAUUUGCCAAUCUAUCUCAUUUAUUCAUGGACAACAUUCGUUUGCCAAGAGGAAUCCAUAUAUUUGCCUUCUUACCUCUUUAUUCGACUGGCUCUCAUCCUCAUUUAAUAUUUUAGAUGAUGACCUUAAAGAAGUUCAACCCUCGGAGUAUGCUUUUUAGUGACGAAGGGCUGACUCACGAAGAAAUGGAAGAGCUCAUAUCGUUUCGUAUCGUGAUCUUUCAUGUCUCACAUGAAUGUAUAUAAUAUAGACUUUAAUCAAUUCAUGAAUUACUUCUUGAACUAAGAGGAUUAACUAAAGGAAUGAUCGAUAAAGUCUUAAAUAAAUAAUAAUUGUUUCCUCCAGUUAAGGACUUGUGUAAGGAUUAUGUGUUUACUAUUAUUCAAAAAACAUUACAUUUCAUAAUUUUACAGACCUAUUUAAUUAGAGAAUAAUAAUCACGUUA
rnacentral:lncRNA from 1 species